CUGGCAGCUCAGUCACAGUGGUGGCCCAGGAGCAGCUAAGAAGCGGCACGAUUCCAGUGUAUUCUGAGGAAAGGACCAGUAGGAUUUGCUGGUGAAUUGGAUGUGGGAUGUGAGUGAAGGAGACGAGUCGAAGAGGACUCCAAGAUUUUUGGCCUCAACACUGGGCUGCAGCAAUCAACAGGACAGACCGUAGCUUUCUCUCCUGCAGCUUACCUCCGAGGCAGAACUGACAUGUAUUUUCUUGUUUGGUCUUCCUAACAGUCCUAAGGAGACAGCUGUGCCAGCUCUGGGGGGCCCGUCUCGCCUCCUGACCUCCUGGACAGUCAAUGAUUCCAGCCCAGAACAGAGACUCUUCUGUCGGCUGGAGCAACCUCUUCCCACUGAAAUACGGGGUGGCUCUCUGGCUUUCAGAAAUACUGCAGGAGCACCAGGGCCCCUUCUGCCAUCAGAGGACCCCAAACAUCAGAUUCAGAAUCACAAACUGGCUGACAAGGAAACAGUGAUGUCACCUGCCAAGGAUGCUGACUUCCAAACCCAGUCACCGUCCAGACGAACACUCCCUGCGUACGUCUCUGUCCACCUUCUGGGCAUCCUGCCCUGUGUCCAGGGAGGGGCCUUGGUGCCACCGGGGGAUUUGUGAGGGUGUGGGAAAUACAGCCCCGGGACGCCAGCGGGGCAGGCUGCUGCUGAUUGGGAGGAAAUAGUCAACAUUAAACGCUCACCUGAGUCCUUACGACGUGCCAGAUUUACGUAAGUCUUAAUCCUCACAACGACCCUGUGAAGCAGCUGCUGUAUUCCCACUUUUAGAUGGGGAAACUGAGGCGUAGAGAAAUUCAGGAAGAUUUCACAGGUGGGAAAGUGGGAAGACGACUCCUG
rnacentral:lncRNA from 1 species